rnacentral:tRNA from 33 species
GCGGGCAUCGUACAUCGGCUAGUAUAUCAGCCUUCCAAGCUGAGGAGGUGGGUUCGAUUCCCAUUGCCCGCUCCA